rnacentral:rRNA from 1 species
AGCAGCCGCGGUAAUUCCAGCUCCAAUAGCGUAUAUUAAAGUUGUUGCAGUUAAAAAGCUCGUAGUUGAAUUUCGGGAUCAAUACGUCGGUCGUGCCUUCGGUACGUACUGGGGUCGUUGAUUUCUCCCUUCUGAUGAAUCACGAUGUCAUUAAUUUGGUGUUGUGGGGAGUCAGGACUGUUACUUUGAAAAAAUUAGAGUGUUUAAAGCAGGCAAACGCUUGGAUACAUUAGCAUGGAAUAAUGAAAUAGGACGUUCGAACCUAUUUUGUUGGUUUCUAGGAUCAACGUAAUGAUUAAUAGGGAUAGUUGGGGGCAUUAGUAUUCAAUUGUCAGAGGUGAAAUUCUUGGAUUUAUUGAAGACUAACUACUGCGAAAGCAUUUGCCAAGGAUGUUUUCAUUAAUCAAGAACGAAAGUUAGGGGAUCGAAGACGAUCAGAUACCGUCGUAGUCUUAACCAUAAACUAUGCCGACUAGGGAUCGGAUGAAGUUAAUUUUUAAUGACUCAUUUCGGCGCCUUA